UACGUAGGGCGCAAGCGUUGUCCGGAAUUAUUGGGCGUAAAGAGCUCGUAGGCGGCCAGUUGCGUCCGCUGUGAAAUCCCGGGGCUUAACCCCGGGCGUGCAGUGGAUACGGGCUGGCUAGAGGCAGGCAGGGGAGAACGGAAUUCCCGGUGUAGCGGUGAAAUGCGCAGAUAUCAGGAGGAACACCGGUGGCGAAGGCGGUUCUCUGGGCCUGUACUGACGCUGAGGAGCGAAAGCGUGGGGAGCGAACAGG
rnacentral:rRNA from 1 species